AUGUCCAUCAGACCAACAUUUGACCAGGUUUUGGCCAGUGAAAUUCAAUGACAUUUUUAAAAAUGGCCGCCAUGGGGAGUCUUUCCUGGGACAUGCUCUGCCUGUGUGAGGAAUGUGGUGCUUUUAACAUAAAUCGCACAAUUCCAGUAGAAAUUGUACAUUCUUUACUGCAGUAUCCGCAAUUCACCUAGUUGGGAGGAAACAGGCAAUCGCGUUCUUACGUAGUUAAUUGCAUUCUAGGCAUGAUUGUCCUUGUAGUUUAUCUCUCCGAAACUUCCGCCGUCUGUCCACUAUCGAUGAAGUCAAAUGAUAGGCAGCUAGUUGUAGCAAGCAAAACGGAGCAUCGACUUCCUGUCGACCACGGAUGUUGCAUGAGAAACAAUAGAAAACCGCACAAAAUAUAAAAGAAAAAAAAACUAGCGAAACAAGCACGUGCACGGAGUCAAAGUAUGCGUGCAUGUUUUGGGGAAAAAAUAGUCAAUGGCGAAAUUAUCUGUUUUUGAUUCCAAUUGGUUGUAAGUACAAACCAUGAAAACAGAGCCUGAGGCCGAAGACUAGGACUGCUGCAGCUAGCUAGCUAGCUAGCUGGCUUGAAAAUCGAAAAGGACUGGCGCUGCUGCUGUGGCCUGCCAGUUCUCGUGAAACAACCCUCAAAGAAGUCUGAAAAGGCAUUGUGAGAGAAGACAACACAGGCAAGGUUUCCCUAUGAUGUUUGAAGAGGAAGACGUGGAUCACCAAACUGGCAAUGACAAUGAGGAAUAUGGAAUGAACAGUGGAGGAAGAGCACAAGGAGAGAUUGGAGGACUCCCUGUGGGAGAUGUGACACCAGCAGCAGUUGUAGCAGCUCUCUCUGAGUACCUGCCCCACAGUAAAGAUCAGUCUCAAAAAAAUCGAAGGGGUCGAUCCAAAAAGAUUUUGCAGCUGAAAGAGGGGAACCAGAGGGAAAAAAAUGAUUUGGAAGCAGUAUUACAUGGUGGACCUGGUAAUUUAAAGACUCAUUCCACUUCUUGUCAGCAACAGAGUACAGAUUUAGAUAGAGCCUUUGAGAAUGGAAGUCCCUUUGACCAAGUUCCUGAAGGGAUAAGUAACCAAGAACAUGGGUUUGCUUUGUCAUCUACUAAAAAACAUAGGGACAUUUUUACCUGUACCGUAGCUGGUGAGCAACAGGUAUCUCCUGAAAGUAGUGGAACAGUAGCCACGAUUCAAGAUGACUUUCCUCCCUUUUCAGGUAGCAGGUACAACGAGGUAAAGUCAAACACUGAAACUCAGUCUCACCCAGGUGCUACAGAGAGGUUGCACAGAAAGCCUCCAGAUAAGUACCCGGGAGGAGGCGAGGGCAGGAUUGUAGUUGCACAGAUGCCCUGGAUUAGCAGUCUCACAGAACAAGAUGAUGUAAAGGGUGAGAAUGAUGCUAGACUCCAUCCCAGUGGCAGGCUGUCACAGAACUCUUGGAAAAAUUGCCAGGGGCAAGGCAAAGACAGAGGAAUAGCAAUUGAGGAGCAGGAAAAAGUUAAAAUGGCAGAAUCAGUGAUACUAACAAAGACCCCUGCACGGACUGGUGAACUAACGGAUCAAUUCAGAGACUGUCAGUCUUCAUCUGUUAUUCCAAGUGUAUCUCAGAGUGAAAUGUUCCAGUCGGCAGGAAAAGCAGUGAAAGAACUGGUACAUGCAGGAGUGCCACAUGAACCUAAGGUCAAACGUGGGCAAAAAGAUGGUCCACCAAAAACAAACUUGCACUCCAAAACACAGGUUAGGCGAACAGUCAGUGGUUCUCAUGAGCUUGGCAACUACUUGGAGGAGAAUAGAACCUGCAGGAAGAGAAGUUCAAGCAGUUCUGACCAGUCAAAAGAGAAGAUUAGAAAAUGCAAGAUGAAAGAAAGUGAUAAAUCUCUUGAGAGUGUUAGAAUGGACACAACUGUAAAGAAGGCAUCAAGUAAGGCAGAUGUUAGACUUGUGGAUACUAAUGUGGGCCAGAUGCAACCCUCUAGAAGUCUUUCUAGUACAGGACCUGACCCUGUAAAUCCUGCUAAUGAAAAGCCGAAAAAUAAGAUGGGGCGGCCACAAAAGAAAUGUGAAUAUAUUGUAACCAAGAAAACCAUAGGGAUAUUGGGAGCUGACUGCAGUGCCUCUGUAAAAGAAUGCUCCCAAAAAGCAUUGUCUCCCAAAGACUUUAGUGACAAAAAGACAUUGGAGACAACUGUUUGUGUUCAGAAAAAGAAAAGAGGCAGGGGGAAAUAUAUUCGGAAGCCUGUCUGCAUAAUCCCACCUCAGGAACAAGUUGUGGGAAUGGCAAUUGAAGGCACAGCAGAGACUCUCUCUUCAUCCAGGAAACCACAUUCGGUACAGGAAGUAAUUGUAGGAAAACAGGUAAAAGGUCCAGAGUGUAAGGCGAGGGCACUAUUGGACCUUAAAACCACAACUGCACCAACCCCAGUUGGAUGUUCGCCACAUGAACAACAGAAGCGAGGUCGUCGAAAGAAAAUUAUUUGCUUGACUGAAAAGACCUCUAAUUCUUUUGAGCCACAGAAUUGCAGUGUUUCUCAGAAGGUUAUGUUGCCACCAUCAAAAAUUAAGACUGAGUUAAAAGGAAUGGCUAUAAUGUCCACCACAGACAGAAAAGGGAAGGGAACUGUAAAAGAGAAAACUGAAGUAGUGAGUCAACACGGUGAUGGAGGCAGCAUUGCUGUUGGUUGCAGGAACAGGGCGGCAGAUGAAAAAUUGAAACGUAAAAUUGGUCGGCCAUUCAAGAAAAAGACUCUAAUUAAAAUGGCGAAACAGUUAGCAUUAGCGCAAGUAAGAACUGCAAAUGCCACAGACAUAUUUGAACGGAAUCAACCAGAAAAUAUUCCUCUCCAUCAUCCUCAAAUAUACAAGCUAAAGAGGGAAAGGAAGAAGGUUGAGUUGUAUUCCCCAGUAUCACCGUUGAGAAGGUACAGUCGGGCCUGCAAAUUAAAUGCGAAUUACUUAGAUGAGAAGCAGGAACACCAUCCUGCAAGUAGCCAUAAACCCCUUUUGUCUUCUGUCUCCAGUGUCACUGUUGCUCAUUUGGAUUCAGGGAAAACAGUUUCCCGAUCUUCAGCUGUUCACUCCAAGAAGGAUUCAGAGACCACCGAAUCUGAAGGACAUGAUUGUGUUAAAGUGACUUGGAAAAAAGCUAAGCAUUUAAAGAACAAAAGGAAAAGUCAAGUGAACAUCAAGGUUGAAGAAAUUCAGCCAUCCGUGUUCACUGAAUUUUCAAAGAUACAAAAUCCCAGUGCCUUCCAGGAACGUUUACCUAUGCUUUCGAAAGAGACUUUAACUUCUUCCGAGUCUGUCUCAACUGAGAAGAUACCGUUGAAAAAUUGGAAAAUGCGAAGUAAGGCAAGAAAAACUGAUCAAUUGAGGUCCAAUACAGAGAGUGGCCAGUCGCUCAGCACACAGUCUCGCCAUCAAAUACACAAUGACAGUGCAGCAGCAAAAGACACUGUACCUUUACUAAUCCCGAAAGAAGAGAUUGAAGAGACACCUAAUGCAGCCGCAACUGAGAACAAAGUGGUGUCCCACAAAGAUACCCGUACUGUAACAAUGAAAAAAGUCAGGAGAAAAGGAAGAAUGUCUCAGAAAAAAGUUGUUGCAAAGAUCAAAUAUGAGCCAACAGUAGAUGCUGCUUUGAGUAAUGUCUCAGCAUCAAAAAAUAAAUACGAAUCUCACUCCAAAUCUUUACCAACAACUCAGAGUUUGAUUGAGUCCAAUUUAUCUGGUGAUAAAGGAUCUCGAAGGCGAGGGAGACCAUGUAAAACUAAAGCAAUGAUUCCGACUGUGAAAUCUAGUGAAGAGGUAAAAAAAGAAAUAGUGGAUUAUGAGUCAUUAACGGACCAAAGUUGUCCCUUGAAACCCCCAGGCAAGGUUAUGUCCUGUCUGAACAUUUCUGGAGAGAGUGAAAUGAAAAGACCACGGAAAGUGGACAGGAGACGGAAAAGGUUUAGACGUCAGAAAGCUCUAGAACUUAAGGCAUCAUCAGAGGUUUUGUUAAACCCCUCAGAACCAGUUGGGAAAUUUACUUCACAGAUUGACCACAGGGAGGAUGUACAUUACAUCUCACAAACCCAUUCCAAUAAAAGAAAACUAGAGGCAGAUGAUCAGCUUUUUAAUGAUUCAAAUUCCUUCACAAAGAGGCCACGGAAAGCAUUUGGCUCAAGGAAGAGGCGGAGAAGAAAAAGGUCCUGGUGGGAUGAUAGGGGAAAGGAUAAAGACGUGCUCACAGAGAAAUACCCGGAUAGUUCGCUGAAGCCGUCUUUGCCGUCUGUUGAAGGCAAAGCAGAAGUGGCGGUGGUUGUGAAAACAGACUUUGAUGUGAAAAGGACUACGAAUCAGGAGUCGAUUAAUUCAUAUCAGCAUAAGAUGCAAAACGCAAAUAAACUCCCCUCACAUACCCGAGCAGUGGCUCAGAGAUCUGGGACAGACAGAAUUUCAGGGGAAGUAGAAUUUUCUGACCAAAUCAACCUCUCUACAGAGGAAAAAAAUAGGCCUACUGAAAAGUCAUGUGGUUACCAAGGCCAUUCAGAGCCACUGAAAAAUGCUUUUCUUAAUGAAACUGAAGGGGUGCUAUUUCACGAUAUCAGCAUUUCAGAAAAUCAAAGAUGGGUGAGUAAUCCAGAAAAUCUAAAUGACCAAAACUUGGCAGUUAAUAAUUCAGGACCACUAGCAGAAUCAUGCAAAGGAACUGUCGGCUUGGUGACUGAUGAGCUUCAAGAAAAACAAGUAAGCAAUGAAACAGUGACUUCCUCAUCUCAUGCUUUAAAAAAUGAAGUGAACGUGCUUGAGACUGACAGUCCAAAACCAGAUGAACUUCUAAAAGAAGACAUUACUAGACAAAGGUCUGGAAGAUCCAAAAAUGAAGACCAACAGAAACAAGUCGUAACAAAUGAAAAAAAUAUCUCGAGAGAUGGGUCAGUCAUGCUGAUUCCUAAAGAGACCGACCAAGUGGAAACAAAUGUUGAAAUGUGUGUGUCUUCAGAAUCCAAAACCCUAAAUCCAACAAACCUGAGGCCCUCCAAGACGCUUGAUGAGGAAUAUAGUUUAUCUGAUGUCUUUCCGAAUGCCCCUGAUGUUGAGAUAAACCAAGCAAUGUUUUUACAGCAAAAUGUGUCCAUACAGGACCUUCCACCAGAUAAAAAAGGGUGGGAAAACUAUCAGGAUGGAGUGGAACAAAGUGACCAAGAAUUGGAGGAAGAAGGAUGCAUUGAGGAAGAUGCUGUGGAGAGCAUGGCAGAAGAAUUGCCUCUAAGUAUCCAUUCUAAGAUUCGAGGUCCAGGACGCCCACCUAAGGAUAAGGAGAAGAAGCCUAUAGAAUGCCAAAUUUGUGGCCGUGCUUUUCAUCACAUCUCGGCCUAUGUCAUUCACCGCCGUGUCCAUACAGGAGAGAGGCCCUACAGUUGCCAGGAGUGUGGUAAAACCUUUGCUCAACUCUCUAAUCUUAACACUCAUCGAAAGACUCACAAGUUACCCGAUGAUCUACGCAGAAUGUUUUCUGAUCAGGAGGAACUUCUUGUCCAUUGCCAGAAGAAUGCCGAAGAGCUAAAUCGCCAACGUUUGACCAGACAAGUGAGCAAUGAAGAAGAUGGGGAGAAGAACCAACAUCGUUCCUUUCCUUGUUUGAAAGACAGGAAACCCCAUGUGUGUUCUGUGUGUGGAAAGGGAUUUCGCUACAGCUCUAUGCUGAAGAUCCACAUGCGUGUUCACAGUGGGGAGAAGCCUUACUCAUGCAAAAUUUGUGGCAAGUCCUUCAGCCAGGCAUGUAGUGUUCGUGUUCAUGAAAAAAUACACUGGUCAGUAAAGCCGUACAUCUGCAACCUUUGUGGCAAAGGAUUUUCUCAGCUCGGGACACUGAGAACUCAUUUUUACUCACACACAGGAUUGUAUAAAGAAGGUGGCAAGCAGGUAAGCAACAAAGUGAUAUUCCAGUGCCGAACCUGCAACAAGAGCUUUAGUAUUUGGCAUCAGUAUAACUUCCAUCUAAAAUCGCAUAUCGAUGUCCAGUUUUUUGCUUGUGAUAUCUGUGGUCAGCAAUUUAGGCAGAUUUCUGAUCUCAGCUUCCACCGCCAAUCCUGUGGUAAGCAGACUAUAAAGGAUACCGUACAUCAUUCAUUUGUAUUUGACACUUUGCAGAAAUCUCAAAAGCAAAAAGGUCUGCCAUUUCAACCACACCCUAUACAGCAUUCACAGCUCCAAAGCAACCAUCAGUAUCAACCACAGGGCCAACAACAAACAUUUUUUCCGAACUAUAGUAUAUCUCAGCAACAGGUUUACCAUUUACCUGAACAUAAAACCUUUUCUGAACUGAUGAACCCUCAACCACAAAGAGAUGCUUCCCAGCAGAGGAAGCAUUCUUCAAGAAGUAAAUGGAGGCAGAUGGCUAGCCCUGCCUAUUCGCAAAUGAUAAUAAAAUCCCCUCGUAAACGUUACCACUCAAGGCACACUCUCUCAACAUCAGCUCAUCUAGAUCAUAAAUUUGACCCACGGAAGUAUUUGUGCCCGCGCUGUGGUCGACUAUUUAGGCACUUAGGGAGGCUUAGAGCCCACAUGCUGACCCAUGUCCAUGGUCACAGCUAUACCUGUGGGCGCUGUGGGAAAACACUGGAAAACUGGAACAAGUUCUGGCUGCACCAGCGUAUCCACCGACAGAAACGAGGACGUUUCUUUUGUCCUAAGUGUGGUCAGGGCUUCCGCUUUGCUGGGAUGUACAAACAGCAUUUGCAGGAACACAAAGAGCUAAGAGUAUUUGCUUGUUCCUCAUGUCCACAGACAUUUUCCCAUAGAGAAACUUUGAAGGCUCAUCAGAGAGAGGAGCACAAACCACAUAAGUGUAAUGUUUGCGGGAAAAGUUUCCACCUUCAGGGAAACUUGCAGCGACACAACCUUGUUCAUCGUCAUACCCACCCAGAAUGUUGUCCUCACUGCAGUUUGUUAUUCCCCAACAUCAGUGGUCUACAGGAUCACAUGAUUACUCAUAAAAGUCCAACUGGCCCACUCUUGGAUGUGUCGGCACAACAAAAUCUAUUGCCAUACCAAUGUGGGGAAUGUGAAGCCAGUUUCAAAAACUUGGAUUUGCUUUUCCGUCAUCAGCUCUGCCACUCUCCCCCCAGGGACAGGAAGCCGUGGCGUAAUGGAGAGAUUGUUGGCUUGCAAAAUAAGGGUCUGCAUGUCUUUACUUCCCUGGAUGACACAAGUGUGUACCCUAGUUCCUCAUCCUCGGAUCCCCAGGUCUCUGCUCUUUACACUGAUCCAUCUUCCCACCAACAGGGUUCUCGGAUCAGCCAUACCUAUUCUCCUGAUCAUUCUCAACUUGCAAGCAACAAGCCCAGUCAGUCUAGCAAGUUCCAGUCUCUAGAAAACAACACACACCUACCUCAGACACUGACACCCUGUACAGCUGUGCCUUUUUCUGAAGCUCAACCUCUCAGUCUCCCACAAUAUCCCCAGACAUGCAACCCCGUCCAGUCCCCUAGCCAUAAACAGGUCCAAACCUCUCCAAAAUUUGGAAAAGUAUUUACCCAAAAGCCGCUCCGCACCUAUGAGAAGUCCAAGAGGGGUGCCCCUUGCACCCCAUCAACAUCUGUGAAACCCCAGAGUGAAGAGGACAGUAGGGACAGUUUAGAAUGUGUGGAGUGUGGGGCACAGUUUAAUCUUGUUCCAGAAUUAUAUGAACAUUACUUGCAGCACGCCAGGGGAGAGCUGUAAGGGACGAUAAGAUAAAGAAAUGUUUUGGAAAGACUAAAAGUAUAUUGAUUUUCAUUGUUCAUUUUGGACAAACAAAACCUCACCCCCUUUCAGUGGAGGAUUUGCUUUCUAAAGAUGCUCAGUACAUGUAAAAAUUCAGAUAUUUCUAUUAGUGGUUGUCUCACAGGUGGGGGGAGUGAGUACACAAUACCUCAGUGGUAUAGACAGAAGGCUUGCAAUGCUGACCUUUUAGAAUAUAUUUGUGUUGGGGGGGAAGGGAUAAAGUGCUGUGUGGCAAUUGCACGCAUCUCAAAUACUGCAGGUAUCUUGGUAUGCUUUCUAAAGUAAGGAUUAUGUACUUACAAAUCACCCUGUCAUUAAAUGUAUUCCUUAUGCUGCCUCUGGGCAUUAAAGCUUAAUGUAGUUUUCAUGUUAAGUUGAAUGAGAGGAUCUUUGUUACUUUUCAGUACAACUUAAAAUGUCUCUAUUGGUAUCAUCAUAAUUUUAAUUUCCAUUAGUCUGAUUUCUUUCCCAUUUCCACUUGUAAAUCUACCACAAAGAUAUCUGAGAUACCAUUUUGAAUAGGGUUGUAAGUUUUCUUUUGCAAAUGGGAACUGUGAUGUCAUUUAAGUUAGUGAGCAUUGUUUAAACUGUGAAUUCAAAUGUAUGUCUAAGAUUGAGUAGUGCAGCAUACAGAUUGCAUCAUUUGUGCCCUAGGACAUUCUGACUGCAUCAAAUAGCCUGAAAACAUGUAUUGAGUGUCCCCAUGUCCUUGGAGAGAAGCGAGUGACAGAAAGUGUCUUUGUAAUAUAAUGUUGUAAUUUGUUUUACAGUGUUUACAGUUAUGUUAAGACAACUGACUGCACUGUCUUGCAAAAAGUUUUGUAGAGUUUGUGUCAGAGCACUUGGUUGCUGAUGUGAGGAUUAGUAUUUUUGCAAGAAGUGUGAGGUAGAUUUCUGUACUUUUUAUUUACAUUUUGUCUGCCCCACCUGUACCAUAUUAACCAGGUGUGCAGUUGCCUCUGUGAUUUCCUUAAGCAAAAAUAUUUUUUGUUUUGAAGUGGGAGCAUUGCAAAGUAGAAGUCACCGCAACACCAUACCGUUUUGUACAGUUUUAAAGGGGUUCCUUUUUUAUCUCUUGUAAAUGUCAUGAAGAAAGUUGCAGACAAGCCUAACAAAAUAAAGCAAAGAUUUUUACUCA